rnacentral:lncRNA from 1 species
UGCCUUGUAUGAGCUUGUUUGAGUAUGCUUUGGCUUGAUGAAUUUAAUUGACUUGCUUCCCUUUGUCCAAAUGGCCUGAAAUUUGGUGUGAUGAUCCUUUAAUGAGUGCUGUUUAGCCAUGAAUGUUUUGGGAAUUUAUUGAAUUGUUUGUGAGUUGAUUUGAAUUGGAUCUUUCUGUUUGGUCCUAUGAGGUUCUAAAUUGCAUGCUUUGUACUCUUUGCUUCAUGAAAUGAUAAUGGUUGAUGAUAUGAAUGUGAGACCAC